CCCUUAGAUGUCCUGGGCCGCACGCGCGCUACACUGAGUGUCUGAGAUACGAGUCUGCCUGGUUCGGCAAGGUCUAGGUAAUCGCUAAAAGACACAUCAUGCUUGGGAUAGAUUAUUGCAAAUAUUAAUCUUGAACGAGGAAUUCCUAGUAAGCGCAAGUCAACAGCUUGCGUUGAUUACGUCCCUGCCCUUUGUACACACCGCCCGUCGCUACUACUGAUUGGAUGUUUAAGCGAGGUUCUCGAACUGCUAGCGACUUAGCUUCGGUGAGGUCGCAGUGUGGGAAGUGAACCUAGCUUUGGUGUCUAGAGGAAGUAAAAGUCGUAACA
rnacentral:rRNA from 1 species